UUGUGUGUGUCAAAUACUGAAACAAAGGUCGUUUUUAUAGUUGACGGCCAUAAAUACGACAAUAAU